rnacentral:rRNA from 1 species
GAUGAACGCUGGCGGCGUGCUUAACACAUGCCAGUCGAACGAGAAGUGAAGACGGAAACCUUCGGGCGGAAGGCUUUAUUUCGAGUGGCGGACGGGUGAGUAACACGUGGGUAACCUGCCUCAUACAGGGGGAUAACAGUUGGAAACGACUGUUAAUACCGCAUAAGACCACAGCACCGCAUGGUGCGGGGGUAAAAACUCCGGUGGUAUGAGAUGGACCCGCGUUCGAUUAGCCAGUUGGCGGGGUAACGGCCCACCAAAGCGACGAUCGAUAGCCGAUCUGAGAGGAUGACCGGCCACAUUGGGACUGAGACACGGCCCAAACUCCUACGGGAGGCAGCAGUGGGGAAUAUUGCACAAUGGGGGAAACCCUGAUGCAGCGACGCCGCGUGAGUGAAGAAGUAUUUCGGUAUGUAAAGCUCUAUCAGCAGGGAAGAAAAUGACGGUACCUGAGUAAGAAGCCCCGGCUAACUACGUG